AAACAGGUAGUGGUAAUUAGUCAUUAUCAGCAAGUAACCCUGCAUCGGUAUCAAGCCGGUGGCACGCUUCACGAUUACGCACAUGAUUGCAUGCAUCUCUUUGGUUAGGGCAAGGGUUGUGUCUAAUAUAUUAGCAGACACUAAUGUUCACUCUCUCAUUCUCGAAGUAGGUUAUAUCCUAGCCUCAGUUCUUCUAGCGGUCAGAAGUGGUGUCGUUCUCUCG
rnacentral:lncRNA from 1 species